rnacentral:lncRNA from 1 species
UGGGAAUUCCCUCUAUGGGAAAGUCAUGGUGGUAUCGACUGUAGAUUGGCAGAUGACAGAGGGCCUCUUUGAGGGGGUGCCAGAUGGCUGAGGAUGCCUGACCAGGGGCUGACAUCUCUGCACACAUCCUGGUGGAGAGGUUUCCAGGCUGAGCAAGGAGCCAGUAACAGCCAUGAAGACAGCACGGAGGAAGGUGUGUCAAAAAAUCAGAAACCGAUAUUUCAGACAAGCCUGGUUAGAAAAGUAUGAGGAACCUUUGGCCCUUUCCUUCACCCUAAGCAGUGACAUCAACACCAUCACCCCGGAUGAAUAUCAGUUUACUUACCGAGGCUCCUUCAAGCUCUUGGCAGGCAAGACCAUGGACCCAAGAGGGUAUGUAACUGUGUAUUGUCAGCGACUCCGCAUGGCUACAUUUCGGUAUUUAAUGAGGCAUUGAUCUUGCUGGAGAUUUUUGAAAGUCUGGCCAGCUGGCCCAUUGGAAGGAGACCUGAGCUUGGUUCUCUGUGCUUGAGUCGUUGGCUGUCUAUGCUACAGGAACUGCCUCAGCUGUGGAAAUGCCAUGAAUCCUCUUCCCCGUUGGCCAUGCAGCAGGACAUACUUUAUUCAGCUGGGUGCUGAAAAAGAAUCUUGGAAAUUAGGAAACUGAAUGAGGCCUCAUUUCACACUCAGAAUGUGGGUUGCAAUAGUCACUUCCUCUGCUGCUGGGAAAGAAAGAAUUAUACUACCUUUUGAAUUUUGGAUUAAGGAGAGAGGUGUUGGCUUGUCAAACUACCAUGUAUUCCUCAAGACAUAUUUUUGUGGCUUUAUAAAAUUCAAUAUAUAUUUCUAAAUUCAAAUAUAUUUUGUUGCAAUCUGGCCCUUGGACAAACUGAGGCCCUAGCAACUGAUGUGUAUGGCUUUCCAUAGAACCUUUCAGAUAAAAUUUACACAGCAUUUUACUGCAGCUAUUUCACACAAAGCAGAGGAUUUUGCCACAAAACUGAAAGAAAAAAGAAACUGCAUUCUUAAAUUUUUUAUAAAUCAAAAGGUAUAAAAAUAUCUACCUAAACGAUAAAGGAGAGGAGAAACCCCACCCGUGAUGGGAAGAAAGCCUAUUUCAGUUUUGCUUUUACUUCAAGUUCUUUUUUCCAUAUCUGGAAAGCAAUCGGAAUUUUAAUCUUGCCUUGGGUUCCUCCUGGAUUUGGGGAGAAGAUAAAACCUGAAAAUCUCUAAUCUGCAUGUGUUCAGCUGCGUAUCUUCCGGAUACGGAAGGAUCACACUGCACAGAGUGCUGGACUUGCAGGAGCCCCGCUUCUCAACCUCCAUCGCUUUAUGAAUGAAUUCACCAGAAAGAAAAGGAAGAAUCAACACUUUCAGAGAUGGAGCCUGUUGAGCCACAGUACCAACUAGUCGAUGCUGAAUCCGACUUCUCCCUUUCUACAUUGCCUGAGAGAAGUCACUGGGGAAUACUCUGUACACGGAUUUUCACUGUUGGGGAAAACAGGUUUUGGAAGUGAUGGGUAGACCUCGGUUUGUAUGCAUUGCGUUAAUUACUAUUUCUUUGCUUUUCCUUUUUUUGUGCGGUUGCAGAGAGUCAAGGGAUUGGAUUGUGGAUUGCAUUGGUGGUUUUCCUCAGUUUCCUCAUCUUCUCCACAAGUUUCUACACAUCAAAUGCAGAGCAGCCCUUCUUCAAAGGACCUCCUACAGAAGCUGCUAAGGAACUCAGUCUGUAGCUCUGCGUGGAGCCAUGUGUAAACACUGAACCGAGGCCUGCCACCUCCUACUACCUAAGGGCCCAUUUUCAUCUGAUAUCAUCCCCCAGAAACAAACUCAUGCUGACUUCCAUGUUUUUUUUAGAUUAGAUACAUGGAGAAUUUUCCUUUCCCUUAGAAUUAAAAUCCUGCAUUCUAAUUUUCAGUAAGCUUUUUUAUUUCUGAAUAAUUUUAAAUUUAAAGAGAAGUUGCAAAGAUAGUAUAGAAUGUUCCCUUAUACCUGUUUUUAUUUAGAGUGAUGUUCCCAGGAGAAAUGAUAAUGCAGCAAUGGACAAGAACAGGAACAAGAGACAGUCUUACCAUCUUCUUACAAUUUAUAGAUGGGACAGUGGAAAGAGAAGCCACAUCGGGGUUGGGCAUGCAGAGACCUGGUCCUAAAUCUGUGUGACUUUUGCGAAGUCCUUUUGCCUCACAGAGCUCUAGGUUCUUAUCUGUCAAACAGGAACCAGACCAUCAGAUCCGUAGAGAUCCAGCCAAUGAAGGAGACUUCGAAAACUACACAUUGCCAUGUCAAUGUGAGGUUGCUGGAUGGUUAUGACAAGAAAUCACAUUAAAUUCACUGGGGUAACAUUGUUCAUGAAACAGGAUAAUGUGUUUCAGUGAUGAACCACCCAUGGCCUUACUACAGACAUAUUUCCACUUUGAAAAGGUGUGUGAGUGUACGUGUCUGUGUGUGAGGCAGAGAUUAGAAAGUAUAAGUGUGUGCGUUUUCAUUUUACACAUCUUACAUUUUCCUUUAAUCUGUUUGAAAGCCUGUUUUGUUUGUGGCUUCCAUUCCUGGAAGUCCCAUGAGUUGUUAGUGGUGAAGAUGGAACAGAUGUGUCCAACCCGGGGGACUCCUGCCCUCAGGGACUGAGCAGCUGCAAACCUCUCUCUCAUCUGAUUCCACUGUUUCUUCCACAUGUACACAUCAUGAGAAACAUUGUUCAAUCAUAUCUUCCCUUAAAUCAACUCAUAUGCUUAUUUACAUGAAUUUACCUAAAACAGAAACUUGAUAUCACUUCUGUAAAUGAAAAAAUUAAACUUUCUGGCUUUAAAUAAAGGAUAACAAUAAUAAUCAUGCC